AGUGAACGCUGGCGGUAGGCCUAACACAUGCAAGUCGAACGGCAGCACAAGAGAGCUUGCUCUCUGGGUGGCGAGUGGCGGACGGGUGAGGAAUACAUCGGAAUCUACUCUGUCGUGGGGGAUAACGUAGGGAAACUUACGCUAAUACCGCAUACGACCUACGGGUGAAAGCAGGGGACCUUCGGGCCUUGCGCGAUUGAAUGAGCCGAUGUCGGAUUAGCUAGUUGGCGGGGUAAAGGCCCACCAAGGCGACGAUCCGUAGCUGGUCUGAGAGGAUGAUCAGCCACACUGGAACUGAGACACGGUCCAGACUCCUACGGGAGGCAGCAGUGGGGAAUAUUGGACAAUGGGCGCAAGCCUGAUCCAGCCGUACCGCGGUGGUGAAGAAGGCCUUCGGGUUGUAAAGCCCUUUUGUUGGGAAAGAAAUCCAGCUGGCUAAUACCCGGUUGGGAUGACGGUACCCAAAGAAUAAGCACCGGCUAACUUCGUGCCAGCCGCCGCCGUAA
rnacentral:rRNA from 1 species